rnacentral:tRNA from 1 species
GGCUCAGUAGCUCAGUGGUUAGAGCAGGGGACUCAUAAGCCCAAGGUCG